rnacentral:rRNA from 1 species
GACGAACGCUGGCGGUGUGCUUAAACAUGCAAGUCGAACGGAUACAUGAUUUCGGUUGUGUGGUGAGUGGCGAACGGGUGAGUAACACGUGAGUAACCUGCCCCCUUCUCUGGGAUAACUGUUGGAAACGGCGGCUAAUACCGGAUAUUCACUUUCUCUCGCAUGGGGGUUGGUGGAAAGUUUUUUCGGUGGGGGAUGGGCUCGCGGCCUAUCAGCUUGUUGGUGGGGUAGCGGCCUACCAAGGCUUUGACGGGUAGCCGGCCUGAGAGGGCGACCGGCCACACUGGGACUGAGAUACGGCCCAGACUCCUACGGGAGGCAGCAGUGGGGAAUAUUGCACAAUGGACGAAAGUCUGAUGCAGCAACGCCGCGUGCGGGAUGAAGGCCUUCGGGUUGUAAACCGCUUUCACCAGGGACGAAUGUGACGGUACCUGGAGAAGAAGCACCGGCUAACUACGUG